AAUAUAUUUUUUCUAUUGAACAGCUGCCUUCUAAGCAGCAGGUCGGGGGUUCGAGUCCCUCCUGGCAGGCCA
rnacentral:tRNA from 1 species